rnacentral:ribozyme from 2 species
CAAGUAAUGUAGCCGCGAAAGUGACAGUCCCAAGCCUGUGUAAAUACAGAGGGUAAA